AUUCUAUUCGCCUAAUUGCUAGCUGUAUUAGCCAAUUAUGAUACAGUAUCUUACAUCCCACUUUAGAAGUGCCUGUUGAGGCAAUUAGCUGGAGUGACCCUACCACCCAUAAUUGCUGGUGGAAGGGAUGGGAAAAGGGGGAGCUUUCAUUCUGGGUGUGUUUGAAUAUGACUAAUACAACCAUUAUCUCCCUGAUUAAUUAGCAGCCGUUCUUGAUUUUGAAUUGACUAUGCAACAAAUGAAUCACUUUUAUUUAUUGCCUUGACAGGAAUGAAUUGAUGUGGAAUAAUGCAAUGCCUAUAUAAACAGUUGGGGGAGUUGCUUGAGGACAUGCAAUUAAUGUUUGAAAACAGUGCGAUCCUUGGACCCCAGGCGCCGUCGUUUUCGACCCUUAAACACCAUAUCAUUUUCAAUCAUAAUUCCAUAAUCAAACAAAACUGUGGGGCUGCUGAAAGGGAUCUUGAAACCUUGCCGGCUGUGUUCAUCCUAGUGGCUGAGGUUUCCGACGCUCUGUUCUUCGAUCUGAGAUUUCCUUGUCUGGAAAGGCCUUCUUGUGUGGCCUGUAAUGAAAAGCUCGUGACCCACCCCCCACGUUGGGUCUUUGAAUUAUUAGCGUUAUCGCUAUCUUAGUUGAAUCCAAUUGUCAUAAAACUGUAUUUAUUACUACAUUCUGGCUUGGCUUUUAGGUUGCGUAUAGAACCCACAUCCUUUGCAAUGCAAACCAUGGUUCUGACUGUGUUUAAGCUAGGAUGAUAGUGAAGUGAGGGAAGACCACUGAUUGGAAGUGGCAAUGCUAUCC